rnacentral:rRNA from 1 species
UACGGGGGGGGCAAGCGUUGUUCGGAAUUACUGGGCGUAAAGGGCUCGUAGGCGGCCAACUAAGUCAGACGUGAAAUCCCUCGGCUUAACCGGGGAACUGCGUCUGAUACUGGAUGGCUUGAGUUCGGGAGAGGGAUGCGGAAUUCCAGGUGUAGCGGUGAAAUGCGUAGAUAUCUGGAGGAACACCGGUGGCGAAGGCGGCAUCCUGGACCGACACUGACGCUGAGGCGCGAAAGCGUGGGGAGCGAACAGG